UGUCACAAACGUUAAAUCAAUGCUAUGUUUUAUUUUGAAAACAGGAAAUGUGAUGUAAUUUGUCAGGUGAGUCAAUGAAGAAUAUGGCUCAGAACUGCUGUUUGUAUUGGUAGCUUUUCAAUCCAGUUGAGUCUGCAUGCAUCCUAUACCUUUUUGAUAGCAUCGUUGUUUUACUCUUUCUCAUGUCAAUAAACCUGUGGACAACGGAC